CUCUCUCUGCAGGUCCAAGUCCGGUCAGGCCCCGACGAGCUGCCACCGCCCUCCGCCGUGCACGGCGGUCGGAGGUGCAACUUGGGGCGGUGGGGUGGUGCUGCAGGCGUCGAUGGUGGAUGGGACAGGGGUCAAAGGCUGAACGGCUAGGGUUUUAGGUUUUCCUUCAUUUUUCUUUUUUCUGUUUUGUGUUUGGGCCAUGUGGGUUUGGGUAUGUUUUGGUUAGGGCUAGAAAAGGGUCCAUUGGGUUUGGGUAGGUUAUUUAGGCCCGCAAAUUGGGCUUGUACAAUAACGAUUCCAACUUGAAGCUAUCCUAGACUUCGUUAAAAAAGGGAAAGGUAACCAUUAAAGAA